CUAUGACGGGUAUCCGGCCUGAGAGGGUGAACGGACACACUGGAACUGAGACACGGUCCAGACUCCUACGGGAGGCACGCAGUAGGGAAUAUUGCUCAAUGGGGGAAACCCUGAAGCAGCAACGCCGCGUGGAGGAUGAAGGUUUUAGGAUUGUAAACUCCUUUUGUUAGAGAAGAUAAUGACGGUAUCUAACGAAUAAGCACCGGCUAACUCCGUGCCAGCAGCCGCGGUAAUACGGAGGGUGCAAGCGUUACUCGGAAUCACUGGGCGUAAAGAGCGCGUAGGCGGGAUAGUCAGUCAGGUGUGAAAUCCUAUGGCUUAACCAUAGAACUGCAUUUGAAACUACUAUUCUAGAGUGUGGGAGAGGUAGGUGGAAUUCUUGGUGUAGGGGUAA
rnacentral:rRNA from 1 species